UAUUGCAGCCAUACCGACUUGUUAGUCUGAUCUCGUCAGAUCUCAGAGGCUGUGUAGGGCUUGGUCUGGUUAGUACUUGGAUGCGAGACUGUUGGUAAUACUGUUGUUGCGUCCU
rnacentral:rRNA from 1 species